AGGGCCAAAAAGAUGCAAGCUGCUUUAAAUGAAUUAAUUGAGAAAUAUGGACUGAAAAUGCAACUCAAGAUGCAAGACAUGAUGAAUUGGGCUUGGAGAGAAAACAAAGCAUGUGGGCAUUAUUCAAGUAAUUUGGCAGCUAAAUACACAAUUUGGAUCAAAUUCAGAAAGGGCAAAUUCGAAAUAAAACUGGUAUUGAUUGAGC
rnacentral:lncRNA from 1 species